rnacentral:rRNA from 1 species
AGGAUGAACGCUAGCGGCAGGCUUAACACAUGCAAGUCGAGGGGCAGCACGUCUUCGGAUGGUGGCGACCGGCGCACGGGUGCGUAACGCGUAUACAACCUACCUUAUAGAGGGGAAUAGCCCAGAGAAAUUUGGAUUAAUGCCCCAUAGUAUUAUUGAAUAGCAUUAUUUAAUGAUUAAACAUUUAUGGCUAUAAGAUGGGUAUGCGUUCUAUUAGCUAGAUGGUAAGGUAACGGCUUACCAUGGCAACGAUAGAUAGGGGUCCUGAGAGGGAGAUCCCCCACACUGGUACUGAGACACGGACCAGACUCCUACGGGAGGCAGCAGUGA